rnacentral:piRNA from 1 species
UGGAUUGUACAUCUAGCAUCAUGCC